UACGAAGGGUGCAAGCGUUAAUCGGAAUUACUGGGCGUAAAGCGCGCGUAGGUGGUUCAGUAAGUUGGAAGUGAAAUCCCCGGGCUCAACCUGGGAACUGAUUUCAAAACUGCUGAGCUAGAGUACGGUAGAGGGUGGUGGAAUUUCCUGUGUAGCGGUGAAAUGCGUAGAUAUAGGAAGGAACACCAGUGGCGAAGGCGACCACCUGGACUGAUACUGACACUGAGGUGCGAAAGCGUGGGGAGCAAACAGG
rnacentral:rRNA from 1 species